ACAGUUUCAGAGUCUCGCCGCUAUGGAUCCCUACCUCUUGGGUCACUCUACAACUCAGAAGUAGCCUAACCUCGUCUCUCGACUGAGGCUUGCAGAGGAAGGGUAAGAUGUGUUUUUGGUAGAUUUCAGAGAUCAUCGGGCAUCGGACGAACGCAGUUGAUGCAGAUGUGGGUAGGUAAUUGUCUCACAGUACUGAAACCCUAUGCUCUUUGCGUCCGUUCUUCCGAUCCGUUGAUUGCAAUCGCUGAUGAACCAAAUAGCUUCUUUGAUUUUGCGUCUUUUCCGGGUUAUUAGAUUCUUGAUCGGAGUCCGAUCUACGUUUUCGAUUCAAUGCAAUGGCAUUUCGAGUAGAAUCUCUUCUUCCUCACGGUAGGGACGUGUCCUAAUUCUUGGUGGGGCGCUCAAGUUGCGCACUCGCUGUAAAUAUGGACAGAGAACAAUUUGGUGGAAUUUAGGUGGGCUUUCUGUGAGACGUGGGGAGUCCAUAAAGGGCCACCAUACACAUAGCGCAUGCGAAGGAGAUGGAAGAAAGAGGCUUUGAAAUGUGUCCUUCCUCGUUCAUUCUGCCAUGUUUGAUUUGUGCUCCUUUUUCAUUUCGUGUCAUUGUUUCGUUGUUCCCGUUGCCGACUACUGUAUUGUCUCUGAUCAAACAUGUAAAAGGCUUACAAUAGAUUUGAUAAUUUCAUUUUGAUGAACUUUUAUGGUUGUUUCAGGGAUAUGUUUAGUUAUCAUGCAUAUAGUUACCGUGCAUAUACAAAACUACAUAGAAACAAGUCAUUCAAUCUACUAGUUUGGGAGGGAUCUAGCUCCAUAGAGUUGUGCGAAGUGUCAACCUAACGUUAAUACUCAAGAGCUAUCUAAAUGACACAUGAUUGAAUAGGCCUUUAUGGUAGUUUCUAGGGUCUUCCUUACGCUUAUCAAAUUUUACAUCGAAUGAAAGUCUUGGUUAUCAACAUAUGUGAAUUGUGUACCACCGAAGGAGAAUUCCAAGUGCAAGUGCCAACAAGUCUCAGGAUGAGGAUUUGAUCAUACAGAGAUAUUAUCGAAGCGGUUGAAGAGUUUGGAUUAUUCCAAAACUCAUAUUCGUUUAAGUGAGCUUGAUAUGUUAUACGACAAGAUCGAGUAAGCGAAUAUUGCUAUCGAGGAAGCAAAGGAAAAUAGAAUCGGUAUGAGCCCUGCAACAUGAUGGCAGAGACUGCAUGAGAGUUGUAGUUUAUCUUUCCAUUGAUCAAGUAAAAUUGUUCGGAGAACAUAGAGGUGUUAAAAUAAAUUGUCGAAAGAGGCGAAGAAGCGAUGAUGAGUCUAGAGAGACUAGGCUACCCAAAAGCAAGCGUCGGUUAGAAUAGAGAUGGACUCAGAUAAGUCUCAUAGUGCCGCAAAGGUAGAACUACUGAUCAUGAAGAAAAGGAUGCAUAUAUGAGGUAACAGAUAGUAGGGUAAUGGGCAUGACAACAUUAUGGUAUUAUAGAGGCAAAACUUUUGUGGAGUUAUCGAUCUCUUGCUUUUAUGAACGGAGAGCGUUAGAUCGUAAAAGGUGCCGAGGAGAUGGAGCAUGUAGAGGCAAACUCUAAGUAUCAAGACAAGACCAAAGGACAAUGGCCAAGAAACUUUAUAAGAUUGGUGUUAACAAGUUUCUCAUCAAAAUAGUUGAAAGUGAGAGAUUUCAGGUCGAUGCAAGAGUACUCGACCAAGGAACGAAAUAAGCAGUAUGCAGUGUUAUACAUUUUUUACUCAAAGGAGUAGAUGAUAGAAAUGAUGGAGAAGACGAUAUAAUCCCAAAAGUGAUCAAAAUUAUUUGAGACUUCCUCUAAAUUGAGGUAAAAUUUUACUCUUUAAGUAAAAUUUUUUGCAUUUCAAAAGUUUGAUGAUAACAAGGUAAAUCACAUUAGCUAACUUAAGGAGUGCAAACACUUUGGGUGUUUUGAAAGUGUCAGUAAAGAACGGGUGAAGGCUAGUAACCAAUUCAAUGCAUGGUAUAUAACCAUCGAGAAGGUGGGUAAAGUCGAGUAACCUUUGCCUUCUUAACUCUUAAGAGAACGAGCGAAAUUGAAUAUCGUAAUUCUCUUAUUUAUCUAGUAGAGGAGCGUUGCACAUGUUCAAAGAUCUUUCGAAGAAACCUAGUGGAAAACAACAAUUGUUAAAUCCUCACCAAUGAUAAUCGGUUCUACCAUGAACAACUUAUUGCAUCAUUUUCUAACAGAAUGAUAAUUGAAAGCGAAUAUGAUGUGAACCUACUUAAAGAUAAUAAAUAAUUAAAAGUAAAAUCAAUAAGUAAAUUUUACGGAGAAUAUACUUUAAUAACUUCAAAGUCGGUGAGGCGAUGCUCAUCAAAACUCUAAUAGACAUCUAACAGAAUGAUAAUUGAAAGCGAAUAUGAUGUGAACCUACUUAAAGAUAAUAAAUAAUUAAAAGUAAAAUCAAUAAGCAAAUUUUACGGAGAAUAUAUUUUAAUAACUUCAAAGUCGGUGAGGCGAUGCUCAUCAAAACUCUAAUAGACAUCUAACCAGUUUAAGCGAUGUGAGACAUUUGAGAGAUUGGCGCACAACAACAAAGAUAUUUUCCUUCAUCUAGGGGAUUUGAAUGAACCAAUAAAAAAAAGCACAAUUCGAUUGACCUCACACCAGAGUCAUUAGCGAGUUGAAGCAACGUGAUGGAUUAAAGUUCGACUACUCAACGAUAACGACGAAAAGCAGUUGAGAGUCAAGAGGCAUAUUGCAAUUGGAGUAGAAGAUUGAAGAUUCAGCAAAAACAAGAAGAUGCAGCAUCCAUAAAGGUUAUAACGAGAGUGUUUGAUGUCAUGGACAAAGUUAUAAAUAGUGUGUUUGAUAUAAUGCUUAUAUAUGUUCAUGUCUCACGAUUUUAUUUAAGCUUUGCACAAAAUGUAGAAGGCUUGUAGUAGAUUUGAUGGUCCCAUUUUGAUUAAUUUUUAUAUACAGUGCACACAAAAGUAAAACUGCAUAGAAACAGACCAUUCAGGCAAUUAUUUUAGGAGUUUUUAGCUCCAUAGAGUAGUAUAAAAUGUCAGUCAGCAUAGCACCCGAGAGCUAUCAUAGUAGCACAUGACAAGAUGGGCCUAUAUGAUAGUAUAUAGGAUUGGUUCGAGAUCUUGUUUCGCAACAAUAUUAUAUGGACAUUUAUGAGGAAUUUUGAUCACGGCGAAUCACCUUGGAAUUUUGUCGUGCAACUAUUUAGGAAUUCAGAAUUUACAAAAUUUAUGUUUGUAAUUUACAUUGACAUAACUAUUUGUAAGAUCUCAAAGUUCAACAUUUUUUCUAACAUAUCUUCUCUUUUGCAUAUCUUUUAAGGGAUCAUAAAACUUUUUGAAGAGACCAACCCUUUAUAAACAAACAUGUAAAGGACUGCUGCUCGAGAAGAUGACUGGUGUUAUGGAACAACGUGUUCAGCUUUAUUGUUUCUUGUGCAAUUGCAAGAGACGAGGAGCAAGAUAGAGUUUUUUCUCUGCUGAACAAAGUUGAUGAUAGGAUUCAGCUUUAUUGUUUCUUGUGCAAUUGCAAGAGAUGAUGAGCAAGAUAGUGAGCCUUCUCUCUGCCGAUCAAAGUUGAUGAUACGGUAAAUAAAUAAUGAGGAUCCUCAUCUAGACUGCAGAAUGUCCCUUUUUUAUUUAUCUCGUACGAUUACCUCGUGAGAGGGGAUGGAAGGAGGAGAACAAAUGCAGCAGCAGCCGUAUGGGAAUAUGCAAGUAGGCCUCAAUCCAUUCGUUCAUUUUUCCA